rnacentral:rRNA from 1 species
AGAGUUCGAUCCUAGCUCAAGAUGAAUGUUGGCGAGAUGCUUAACACAUGCAAGUCGGACGGGAAAUGGUGUUUCCAGUGGCGGAUGGGUGAGUAACGCGUAAGAACUUGCCUUUGGGAGGGGAACAAUAGCUGGAAACUGCUGCUAAUACCCCGUAGGCUGAGGAGCAAAAAGAGGAAUCCGCCUGAGGAGGGACUCGCAUCUGAUUAGCUAGUUGGUGAGGCAAUAGCUUACCAAGGCGAUGAUCAGUAGCUGGUUUAAGAGGAUGAUCAGCCACACUGGGAUUGAGACACAGCCCAGACUCCUACGGGAGGCAGCAGUGGGGAAUUUUCUGCAAUGGGCGAAAGCCUGACAGAGCAAUGCCGAGUGGAGGUAGAAGGCCUACAAGUUAUGAACUUCUUUUCCCGGAGAAGAAGCAAUGACGGUAUCUGGGGAAUAAGCAUCGGCUAACUCUAUGCCAGUAGCCGCGAUAAUAUAGAGGAUGCAAGCGUUAUCCGGAAUGAUUGGGCGUAAAGCGUCUGUAGGUGGCUUUUUAAGUCCGCCGUCAAAUCCCAAGGCUUAACCCUGGACAGGCGGUGGAAACUACCAAGCUGGAGUACGGUAGGGGUAGAGGAAAUUUUCAGUGGAGCGGUGAAAUGCGUAGAGAUCGGAAAGAAAACCAACGGUGAAAGCACUUUGUUGGGUCGACACUGACACUGAGAGACGAAAGCUAAGGGAGGAAUGGGAUUAGAUACCCUAGUAGUCCUAGCCGUAAACGAUGGAUACUAAGCGUUAUGCGUAUCGACCCGUGUAGUGUUGUAGCUAAUGUGUUAAGUAUCCUGCUUGGGGAGUACGUUUGCAAGAAUGAAACUCAAAGGAAUUGACGGGGGCCCGCACAAGGGAUGGAGCAUGUGGUUUAAUUCGAUGCAAAGCGAAGAACCUUACCAGGGCUUGACAUGCUGUGAAUCCUCUUGAAAGAGAGGGGUGCCUUUGGGAACGCGGACACAAGUGGUGCAUGGUUGUCGUCAGCUCGUGCCGUAAGGUGUUGGGUUAAGUCCUGCAACGAGUGCAACCCUUGUGUUUAGUUGCCACCGUUGAGUUUGGAACCCUAAGCAAACUACCUGUGAUAAGCCGAAGGAAGGUGAGGAUGAUGUCAAGUCAUCAUGCCCUUUAUGCCCUGGGUGACACACGUGCUACAAUGGCCGGGACAAAGGGUUGCGAUCCCGCGAGGGUGAGCUAACCCCAAAAACCUGUCCUCAGUUUGGAUUAUAGGCUACAACUCGCCUGUAUGAAGCCGGAGUCGCUAGUAAUCGCUGGUUAGCCAUAUGGCGGUGAAUUCAUUCUUGAGCCUUGUACACAUCGCCUGUCACACUAUGGAAGCUGGCCAUGCCCGAAGUCGUUACCUUAACCACAAGGAGGGGGAUGCCGAAGGUAGGGCUAGUGACUAGAGUGAAGUCAUAACAAGGUAGCCGUACUGGAAGGUGCAGCUG